GUAGUCGGUUUCGCAUCAAUCCACAUAUGUUGGAGUGGAUUGGGGUCCCCAAUCCACUCCAACACAUGUGGAUUGAUGUGAAUCCGACA
rfam:Sorghum bicolor cultivar BTx623 chromosome 6, whole genome shotgun sequence.